GUAGGUGGCAAGCGUUGUCCGGAAUCACUGGGCGUAAAGCGCGCGCAGGCGGCCGUUUAAGUCUGGGGUGAAAGCCCGGAGCUCAACUCCGGGACUGCCUUGGAUACUGGAUGGCUUGAGCAUUGGAGAGGCAAGGGGAAUUCCACGUGUAGCUGUGAAAUGCGUAGAUAUGUGGAGGAACACCAGUGGCGAAGGCGCCUUGCUGGCCAAUCGCUGACGCUGAGGCGCGAAAGUGUGGGGAGCAAACAGGAUUAGAUACCCUGGUAGUCCCACACCCGUAAACGAUGAGUGCUAGGUGUUGGUGGGGUUCCACCCAUCAGUGCCGAAGCUAACGCAUUAAGCACUCCGCCUGGGGAGUACGCUCGCAAGAGUG
rnacentral:rRNA from 1 species